rnacentral:rRNA from 1 species
ACCCGACUGCUAUCAGAGUGAGAUUAAGCCAUGCGAGUCAACGUAGCAAUACGUGGCAUACGGCUCAGUAACACGUAGUCAACAUAACCAAAGGACGUGGAUAAACUCGGGAAACUGAGGCUAAACCGCGAUAGAUCAAGAUACCUGGAAUGGUUUUUGAUCAAAAUCUAUAUGGCCUUUGGAUUGGACUGCGUCCGAUCAGGCUGUUGGUGAGGUAAUGGCCCACCAAACCUAUAACCGGUACGGGCUCUGAGAGGAGGAGCCCGGAGAUGGGUACUGAGAUAAGGACCCAGGCCCUAUGGGGCGCAGCAGGCGCGAAACCUCUGCAAUAGGCGAAAGCUUGACAGGGUUACUCUGAGUGACUUUCGUUAAGAAAGUCUUUUGACACCUCUAAAAAUGGUGUAGAAUAAGGGGUGGGCAAGUCUGGUGUCAGCCGCCGCGGUAAUACCAGCACCCCGAGUGGUCGGGACGAUUAUUGGGCCUAAAGCAUCCGUAGCCGGCCUUACAAGUCCUCCGUUAAAUCCAGCUGCUUAACAGAUGGGCUGCGGAGGAUACUAUAAGACUAGGAGGCAGGAGAGGCAAGCGGUACUCAGUGGGUAGGGGUAAAAUCCGUUGAUCCAUUGAAGACCACCAGUGGCGAAGGCGGCUUGCCAGAAUGCGCUCGACGGUGAGGGAUGAAAGCUGGGGGAGCAAACCGGAUUAGAUACCCGGGUAGUCCCAGCCGUAAACGAUGCAGACUCGGUGAUGGACUAGCUUUAUGCUGGUCCAGUGCCGCAGGGAAGCCGUUAAGUCUGCCGCCUGGGUAGUACGGUCGCAAGACUGAGACUUAAAGGAAUUGGCGGGGGAGCACCACAAGGGGUGAAGCCUGCGGUUCAAUUGGAU